CGGAAGUUAGCUCAUCGGCAGAGCAAUAGACUCAUAAUCUAUCGGUAGCAGGUUCGAUUCCUGCACUUUCAA
rnacentral:tRNA from 1 species